rnacentral:lncRNA from 1 species
CAAAAUCAACCUGAUAAUAUUACCAGGUAAUAUGACCUGACUCGUUACCCGUUAAGAAAAAUAUAUUUUAAAUCAAUAAAAAUGAAAAUGAAAAACAUAAUUUGACCCAAAAAAAUGUAAAACAUAAUACUAAAUUAGUAUAUACAUACUAAAUUUCAGAGUUGACCCCUUCAUGAAAAUUGUAAGGCUUUUCAUUACAAGUGAUUACAUUUUUCACACUUCUACAAUAAUUAUUAUUAAUUUUAUUAAUUUUGCACUCAAAUAAAAAACAUUGUUCAUGAGAUUUGUAGGGUUUUAAAAAUCUAAACGACUAUGUAACCAUAGUCUAAGCAUUGAGGAUGCAAUUAUGAACGUUUAUUAUGCUUUCACAUCUUUUAGACUUAUACAUUAAUGAUUAUGAAUUUUAUUUAUUUUGAACUCCCUUAAGAAUACUAUUCAUGAGAGUUUGUAUGGUUUUAAAAAUUCACACAAUCAUAUACCCAUCCUCAAAGCAUAGAGGAUGUGACUACGAGCGUUUGCAUAUUUUUUCAUAUUUUUCGCACAUGUAAAUUAAUUAUUAUAAUUUUUUUUAAAUGUGUUUGGUAUUUUUAAAUUAUUUGAUAUUUUUAUUUUUAAUGUGUUUUAUGAUUUUUAAUCUCAAUCUUUGCCUAUAAUAUACUAUAAAAAUAAAUAAAUAAAUAAAACUUCAAUUUUAAAAUUCAUAUAGAAUAAUAAUUAAUAAACAAUAUAUACAUAUUCAUUAUAUCUAUUGCAUUUUAUAGUAAGUUUUUUUUAGUAGUUUAAAAAAUUAAAAUAAUCAAAAUAGCAUUUUUUUAAUCAUGUCGAAACAUGUUACCCGUGUGUCACUCUAGUGUAAACCUGUUAAGGACCCGUUAUUAAUAGGUUAUUAUCGUGUGAACCGAUAAUGACCUGAUUAGUUAUCGUGUAGACCCGAAACCCGUUAUUUUCAUGUCGUUUACGUGUCAUGUUAACCGGUUGUCGUGUAAGAAAUUGCCAAAUCUACUCCUCAGCAACUGAAAAUUAAUCCAGACUUGACUUAUGAUAAGGUUCCAGUGACGAUUAUGGAUUGGAAAGAUAAGGUUCUCAGGAACAAGACCAUUUGCAUGGUGAAAGUCUUGUGGAGGAACCACUCAAUUGAGGAAGUCACCUAGGAGACGGUGGAACGCAUGCGAGACUUGUAUCCACGUCUAUUCUUUGAUUAUUGAUUUGUGUUGUGUUCGAAUUUCGGGGAUGAAAUUUUCUUAAGGGGGUAGACUGUGACGACCCGUCCCUAUUUUCUAUGUAAUUUUCUCCCCGAGUGUGUGAAGUGACGAUUAUGCCUUGGUUGGCUAAGUGACGUGGAUGUACAUAUGUGGUUUUACAUUAUUUUUAUCACUAUCCCUAUCCACCACUUAUUUAGAUUCCCACAAUACCUAGCCCAAUUAGAUUCUCUUUUUUUUGGACCAAUUAAAAUUAUCUCUCUCUCUUCUGCCCAAUCAAACCCGAGCUCUUUCUCUCAUUCUCGCACCUUUUUCUUUGUUCUUCUCAUACCUGAGCCAUCACCACCUUUUAACCAUCAUCAAACCAUCGCGGAUCAAG